rnacentral:misc_RNA from 1 species
GAACUGCGAUAAGUAAUGUGAAUUGCAGAAUUCAGUGAAUCAUCGAGUCUUUGAACGCACAUUGCGCCCCCUGGCAUUCCGGGGGGCAUGUCUGUCCGAGCGUCAUUGCUGCCCUUCAAGCCCGGCUUGUGUGUUGGGUCGUCGUCCCCCCCGGGGGACGGGCCCGAAAGGCAGCGGCGGCACCGUGUCCGGUCCUCGAGCGUAUGGGGCUUUGUCACCCGCUCGAUUAGGGCCGGCCGGGCGCCAGCCGGCGUCUCCAACCUUAUUUUUCUCAGGUUGACCUCGGAUCAGGUAGGGAUACCCGCUGAACUUAAGC